rnacentral:rRNA from 1 species
UACGAAGGGGGCUAGCGUUGUUCGGAAUUACUGGGCGUAAAGCGCACGUAGGCGGACUAUUAAGUCAGGGGUGAAAUCCCGAGGCUCAGCCUCGGAACUGCCUUUGAUACUGGGGAUCUCGAGUCCGGGAGAGGUGAGUGGAACUGCGAGUGUAGAGGUGAAAUUCGUAGAUAUUCGCAAGAACACCAGUGGCGAAGGCGGCUCACUGGCCCGGAACUGACGCUGAGGUGCGAAAGCGUGGGGAGCAAACAGG